rnacentral:rRNA from 1 species
ACCAGACUCCUACGGGAGGCAGCAGUGGGGGAUAUUGCACAAUGGGGGGAACCCUGAUGCAGCGACGCCGCGUGGGUGAAGAAGCGCCUCGGCGCGUAAAGCCCUGUCAGCAGGGAAGAAAAUGACGGUACCUGAAGAAGAAGCCCCGGCUAACUACGUGCCAGCAGCCGCGGUAAUACGUAGGGGGCAAGCGUUAUCCGGAUUUACUGGGUGUAAAGGGGGCGCAGACGGCGAUGCAAGCCAGGAGUGAAAGCCCGGGGCCCAACCCCGGGACUGCUCUUGGAACUGCAUGGCUGGAGUGCAGGAGGGGCAGGCGGAAUUCCUGGUGUAGCGGUGAAAUGCGUAGAUAUCAGGAGGAACACCGGUGGCGAAGGCGGCCUGCUGGACUGCAACUGACGUUGAGGCCCGAAAGCGUGGGGAGCAAACAGGAUUAGAUACCCCUGUAC